rnacentral:rRNA from 1 species
UACGUAGGGGGCAAGCGUUGUCCGGAAUCAUUGGGCGUAAAGAGCGUGUAGGCGGCUCGGUAAGUCCGCUGUGAAAGUCCAGGGCUCAACCCUGGAAUGCCGGUGGAAACUGUCGAGCUAGAGUCCGGAAGAGGCGAGUGGAAUUCCUGGUGUAGCGGUGAAAUGCGCAGAUAUCAGGAGGAACACCGGUGGCGAAGGCGGGUCUCUGGGCCGAUAUUGACGUGAGGAGCGAAAGCGUGGGGAGCGAACAGG